ACGAAAUAGUAGUGCGCGCGUGUUUAAGUUGUAAAAGGUUUAUUGUUUGAAUAAUUGUUGGUGAAGUUCUUUUUAAUUUUGUGUUGUUUCAUUUCUUAUGAUAGGAUCUGUUCGAUGUUAUCCGUUAAAAUAAUUAUUGUUACAUUGUAAAUAGUACGGAAUUGUGUUAGUUGAAAAUCAUUUAGAACGUUAAACCCCCAUUCAACACACCACGAAGAAAUAACGACAGUGACAAACAAAUAUAAACCAAUUAUAGAAAAAGGUCCACGACAAAGGGACCUUUUUCUGUUGUGUUUAUUCACAGUUUUCGACAGUGCAGUGCCGCGGUGGAAGUGCCCGUUGAUCCGGCCUUGAUCCCGCUAUUUUGGAUGCCGGAGAUUUUCGGUCCGAAACAGUGCCGCCAUUGUUUUAGGCACGCGGGAUCAUCAUUCGCCGCAGGUUGGCCGCCAUCUUCUCGCCCAACGCCGCUUACCCGAGCCAGCACUCGUCUCGUCCGUGGAUCGUAUUUCCGGACGAAAUCAGCCCUGCGACCUGCUCCACACCGGCCAGAACCCUUCAAGUCCGCCACUCCAAACACCAAAACACCUACAAGCAUGCAAGUACCCUUAAUGUGACGUCACCAAUAAAUUGUAAAAUUGUUAACCUCAGGUG